CCAGAGCAGGGUGCCCAGGCGGCUUUUGAAGCUUUCCAAGUAGGAAAACUUUACAGCUUCUCUGGGCAGAUGCAAAUUCCCCAGUGUCAUCUCAGAAAUGUCCAUGAGGAUUUCCCUGAGUUAUUUUCUUACAUGUGGCUUGCUCCAGAGGCAAUGAGCAGAGUUGCUGCUCAGUCUCAUGCUCACAAAGGAGUGAAACACGGCAUGCCAGGUUCCUUCUCUGAUUUUUCUUUUAAAAGUGAAAGUGCUUUUUAGUAUUUGUGCUUUUUGGCAUGACUGCACUCCUUUGUCUCUUUCAUGUUCUUCCCUAAGAGUAAGCUCCUAUCUCAAUCCCCCUUGUUAACCACAGAAGUCCUUUCUUCCUUGCUGCCUUCACUCUGCCGUGCUAUUAGAGAUAUGCAUGAGAAUAAAACAAAGAAAGCAUAAGUUUGGAAAAUACAUAUCUGUUCUGAUUACCUGGUUGCUUUUGUGCAUUCCUUGUAAAUAGUUUUUCUGUGUAGGGGAUACUUUUUUUUUUUUUUUUAAAUCAAAGGAGAACUUUCUGCUUUCACUGCUUAUUGAGGUGUUUUGUGGUAUACACAGGUACAAAAAUAUGACACCAGAACUUCAGGUGUGCUCAGAUUCCCAUUUAUUCUGAAGCUUUGCAUGAAAUCUAAUUAUUGUGAGGUCAUCGAAAGAGUGUCUUUGUAAGGCUCCCAGAGCAGGCAGUCUGACCCCAAUCCCUUCCCAGGGUGCAAUGAAAUGAGACCUUCAGCCCUAUUGCAAUAUUUAUCCCAAGACAAACAAGGGGAAUGAUGGGGCUUCAUAAUGAUCUGUGGGAGAUGGAAGGACCUGAGAACCAAGACUCCAUUACUCAGGGUUUCCUGUGGCUGAAAGACAGCUUCAUCCAAGAAGGCAAAGCCUGGGAUAUUCUUGAGUCUCUCUCUGAGUUUCAGCUUUUAGUUGAUAGGACUUUGGGUGUCUUUACUCCAGCGGGGGACAGCUGAGUUCCCAGUGCCUACUCUGAUCUUCUGUCCUGGUUCCUACUUGCAGGGGCCUUAAUACAAAGGGGUCCCUAAUUCAGUUUAGGGCCUGUCUGUGCUUUUCCAGUAUUACUGCCAGUAAUGAUUGAACAAACAUAAAGGCUAAUCGGCAAUAAAUGAGGAUUGCUAAAGAAUAAUUCA
rnacentral:lncRNA from 1 species